UUCGGCCGCCGAAUUUUGGCCGUGCCGAGGCUUUGGCAGGGCUGGCGUGCGGCAGAAUCCAAACGUCCCCGAGGAGACGAGGGCGGCGGCGAGCGAGCAGCUGCCGCUGGCGAACGUGUGCAGGAUGUCAGUGCCGGGGAGCUCGUUGCGCGUAAGCCCAUUCAGCCCUUGUUUUCCCAACUCCUAACUUUGACACUACGUAAAAAGAAGAUUCCUCAUCACAUCAAACUUGCGGUACAUGCAUGGAGUACUAAAUGUAGAUGAAAUUAAAAACUAAUUGCACACUUUUGUUGUACUUUGCGAGACGAAUCUUUUGCGCCUAAUUAGUCAAUGUUUGAACAAUAAUUCACAAAUGCAAACGAAACGUUACAGUGUACUACAGUGCUGGUAUAUAAUUUUAGCACUCUAAAUUUUAGCAACUAAACAAGACCUCAUUCAUGUGUGCGUAUCGGUGGCCCAUGAUUUUUCUAGCAGGUGCUCUGGAAUCUGGCUGGACUGCAGGGGCCAUCGGUGAUGGCAGGCAUAGAGUCCCAAC
rnacentral:lncRNA from 1 species